rfam:Candidatus Marinimicrobia bacterium TMED80 17269, whole genome shotgun sequence.
UCCGGUGAUAAUAGCGUGGAGGCAACACCCGAUCCCAUUUCGAACUCGGAAGUUAAGCUCCAUUGCGCCGAUGGUACUGCGCGGGAAACCAGCGUGGAAGAGUAGGAAAUUGCCGGGA